rnacentral:RNase_P_RNA from 1 species
AGGAGAGAGUAGACGCAGGCGGUUGCAGAUCAGUCAUAGUUACUGGUUUGAGGAAAGUCCGGACUCCCGAAAAACCAAACUUGCUGGAUAACGUCCAGUGCGAGCGAUCGUGAGGAUAGUGCCACAGAAAGAUACCGCCAGAUUAAUUUUACAUUUUUAAUUGAUCUGGUAAGGGUGCAAAGGUGCGGUAAGAGCGCACCAGCAGUAUCGAGAGGUGCUGGCUCGGUAAACCCCGGUUGGGAGCAAGGCGAUAGGAACUACGGUUGGUUUUUUACCAGUUCCGCUCAAUGAGAGCCGCUAGAGGCGUUUGGUAACAAGCGUCCCAGAUAGAUAACUGCCCUCGCAAGAGAACAGAACCCGGCUUAUGUACUGCUCU